rnacentral:rRNA from 1 species
GACAGAGGUGCCAAGCGUUAGGCGGAAUCACUGGGCUUAAAGCGUGUGUAGGCGGAAUUGUAAGUACCUUGUGAAAUCCCACGGCUCAACCGUGGAACUGCUUGGUAUACUGCUUUUCUUGAGCCACUUAGGGGCUACCGGAACAAAUGGUGGAGCGGUGAAAUGCGUAGAUAUCAUUUGGAACGCCAAUGGUGAAAACAGGUAGCUGGGAGUGUGCUGACGCUGAGGCGCGAAAGCCAGGGGAGCAAACGGG